UGCUAUCCAGAGAGCGGCGCACGGGUGCGUAACACGUGUGCAACCUACCUUUAUCUGGGGGAUAGCCUUUCGAAAGGAAGAUUAAUACCCCAUAAUAUAAUGNUUGGCAUCANUUAUUAUUGAAAACUCCGGUGGAUAGAGAUGGGCACGCGCAAGAUUAGAUAGUUGGUGAGGUAACGGCUCACCAAGUCAAUGAUCUUUAGGGGUCCUGAGAGGGAGAUCCCCCACACUGGUACUGAGACACGGACCAGACUCCUACGGGAGGCAGCAGUGAGGAAUAUUGGACAAUGGGUGAGAGCCUGAUCCAGCCAUCCCGCGUGAAGGAUGACGGUCCUAUGGAUUGUAAACUUCUUUUGUACAGGGAUAAACCUACUCUCGUGAGGGUAGCUGAAGGUACUGUACGAAUAAGCACCGGCUAACUCCGUGCCAGCAGCCGCGGUAAUACGGAGGGUGCAAGCGUUAUCCGGAUUUAUUGGGUUUAAAGGGUCCGUAGGCGGACCCGUAAGUCAGUGGUGAAAUCUCAUAGCUUAACUAUGAAACUGCCAUUGAUACUGCGGGUCUUGAGUAAAUUUGAAGUGGCUGGAAUAAGUAGUGUAGCGGUGAAAUGCAUA
rnacentral:rRNA from 1 species